GUGUGUUUGUGUGAGAAAGCGUGCAUGCGUUUGUGUGAGAGAAAGCGUGCGUCUGUUUGUGUGAGAGAAAGCGUGCGUGUGUAUGUGUGAGAGAAAGCGUGCGUGUGUUUGUGUGAGAGAAAGCGUGCGUCUGUUUGUGUGAGAGAAAGUGUGCAUGUGUUUGUAUGAUAGAAAGCGUGCGUCUGUUUGUGUGAGAGAAAGUGUGCAUGUGUUUGUAUGAUAGAAAGCGUGCGUGUGUUUUGUGAGAGAAAGCGUGCGUGUGUUUUCUGUGAGAGAAAGCGUGCGUGUGUUUGUAUGAGAGAAAACGUGCGUGUGUUUGUGUGAGAGAAAGCGUGCGUGUGUUUGUGUGAGAGAAAGCGUGCGUGUGUUUGUAUGAGAGAAAGCGUGCGUGUGUGUGUGUGAGAGAAAGUGUGCGUGUGUUUGUAUGAGAGAAAGCGUGCGUGUGUUUGUGUGAGAGAAAGUGUGUGUAUGAGAAAGCGUGCGUGUGUUUGUGUGAGAGAAAGUGUGCGUGUGUUUGUAUGAGAGAAAGUGUGUGUAUGAGAGAAAGCGUGCGUGUGUUUGUAUGAGAGAAAGCGUGCGUGUGUUUGUAUGAGAGAAAGCGUGCGUGUGUUUGUGUGAGAGAAAGUGUGUGUAUGAGAGAAAACGUGCGUGUGUUUGUGUGAGAGAAAGUGUGCGUGUGUUUGUAUGAGAGAAAGCGUGCGUGUGUUUGUGUGAGAGAAAGUGUGUGUAUGAGAGAAAGCGUGCGUGUGUUUGUAUGAGAGAAAGUGUGUGUAUGAGAGAAAGCGUGCGUGUGUUUCGUCGAGAGAAAGCGUGCGUGUGUUUGUGUGAGAGAAAGCGUGCAUGUGUUUGUAUGAUAGAAAGCGUGCGUGUGUUUGUGUGAGAGAAAGCGUGCAUGUGUUUGUAUGAUAGAAAGCGUGCGUGUGUUUGUGUGAGAGAAAGCGUGCGUGUGUUUGUGUGAGAGAAAGCGUGCGUAUGUUUGUGUGAGAGAAAGUGUGUGUAUGAGAGAAAGCGUGCGUGUGUUUGUACGAGAGAAAGCGUGCGUGUGUUUGUGUGAGAGAAAGCGUGCGUGUGUUUGUGUGAGAGAAAGCGUGCGUGUGUUUGUAUGAGAGAAAGCGUGCGUGUGUGUGUGUGAGAGAAAGUGUGCGUGUGUUUGUAUGAGAGAAAGCGUGCGUGUGUUUGUGUGAGAGAAAGUGUGUGUAUGAGAGAAAGCGUGCGUGUGUUUGUAUGAGAGAAAGCGUGCGUGUGUUUGUGUGAGAGAAAGCGUGCGUGUGUUUGUAUGAGAGAAAGCGUGCGUGUGUUUGUGUGAGAGAAAGCGUGCGUGUGUUUGUGUGAGAGAAAGCGUGCGUGUGUUUGUAUGAGAGAAAGUGUGUGUAUGAGAGAAAGCGUGCGUGUGUUUGUAUGAGAGAAAGCGUGCGUGUGUUUGUAUGAGAGAAAGCGUGCGUGUGUUUGUAUGAGAGAAAGCGUGUGUGUGUUUGUAUGAGAGAAAGCGUGUGUGUGUUUGUGUGAGAG
ensembl:lncRNA